rnacentral:rRNA from 1 species
GACGAACGCUGGCGGCGUGCUUAACACAUGCAAGUCGAACGGAAAGGCCCUGCUUUUGUGGGGUGCUCGAGUGGCGAACGGGUGAGUAACACGUGAGUAACCUGCCCUUGACUUUGGGAUAACUUCAGGAAACUGGGGCUAAUACCGGAUAGGAGCUCCUGCUGCAUGGUGGGGGUUGGAAAGUUUCGGCGGUUGGGGAUGGACUCGCGGCUUAUCAGCCUGUUGGUGGGGUAGUGGCUUACCAAGGCUUUGACGGGUAGCCGGCCUGAGAGGGUGACCGGCCACAUUGGGACUGAGAUACGGCCCAGACUCCUACGGGAGGCAGCAGUGGGGAAUAAUGCACAAUGGGCGGAAGCCUGAUGCAGCAACGCCGCGUGCGGGAUGACGGCCUUCGGGUUGUAAACCGCUUUCGCCUGUGACGAAGCGUGAGUGACGGUAAUGGGUAAAGAAGCACCGGCUAACUACGUG